rnacentral:rRNA from 1 species
AUUGAACGCUGGCGGCAGGCCUAAUACAUGCAAGUCGAACGGAGCGGCGUACGGGUGAGUGAUGCCUGGGAAUCUGCCUGGUCGUGUGGGAUAACAUACGGAAUCGGGAGCUAAUACCGCACACUAUACGCUUCGCCUAGGUCGGAUUAGGUAGUUGGUGGGGUAAAGGCCUACCAAGGCGACGAUCCGUAACUGGUAUGAGAGGAUGAUCAGUAAAACUGGAACUGAGAAACGGUCCAGACUCCUACGGGAGGCAGCAGUGGGGAAUAUUGGACAAUGGGCGAAAGCCUGAUCCAGCCAUGCCGCGUGUGUGAAGAAGGUCUUCGGAUUGUAAAGCACUUUAAGUUGGGAGGCGUUACCAACAGAAUAAGCACCGGCUAACUUCGUGCCAGCAGCCGCGGUAAUUC